UGCUACACACAAAGCUCAUUAUGACUUUUUAUCUAUUGGCUAAUAUGGACUCCUAACUACUAUUGUGGUGACACUAACAAUAAUUUACAACUUGCUCAACCACAACAAAUUUGCAGCUCACUAUACCAUAACUGAUUUGUGGCUCACCACACCAUAGCAUAACCUAUGACCACGAUCGUACCAACCACUGUGGUCUUAAAGACUAUGACCACGACCCUACUUCACCAUAGUGGUCUUAGAAUAUCAUACGCGCUUUCACGUGGUCAUCCAUAGGGAGUGAUCAUCUCACGUCUUUCUAAAU
rnacentral:lncRNA from 1 species